GCCUGUUUGGUACCCUCAUUCACGUGACGAGAUGCGAGAGCCGUGGAACCACGCUGCAUAAGUGCCAGAUUUCUUAGAGGAAGCCUAAUUUUCCCUUCUUCCUGAGGCUUGCUGUGGAGGUAUCUGUAGCUGCAGACAAAUGAGAGAACACGUUGGGAUGGAUGGGACAGCAUGGUCAGAGCACAGUAACCCUUCAAGACUGAUGUUUGGUUUCUCACUAUGCCUUCAGGCAGGCAGAAACCAAGCAGAACAGGAAAACCAGAGUUUGCAUAUACUAUGCAUUGGGGAAUUACAAAUGGCUUUGUUGGAGAAAAAAAAAAAGAUAUCUUUUAACAAUUACCAAAAGAAGUUGGUACUAAUCAGCCUUCAAGACCUAAGUCAUUGUUGACCCUGAGCCAAUGGCUGGACAAGAGAGCUCCUCCAUCUCCUUCUAGCAGGUGCAGUUCUGUGCUUGGGUGACUGGUAUGACAGAGUGUGAAGGGGAAGAUCUAAGCAUGGAAGCCUCAGCACUGCCAGAAAAAGGGCUGUGGGAAGGGCAAACACACCAGCACUUCAUCAAGGUCACAUGUACCUGCAGCUUCUCAGAACACCCAGGCAAGGACAACCCAGGAGAUGUGAAGAGGGCUCCAAAGGCUGUGUCACUCUUCUUCUGUCCUGCCUCUAGUAAUUCUGUCCAGAGCAGGAUGAAAGACACGUUUAGCUGCUUACACCUAGGUGGAUAUGACAGUAUGCCUGGGAAUGAGUGAAAAUAAAAAUUGUGACAGAAGAAUCUCCAUCCCCUCCUUGCUUGAACUUUGCAACAUUACUGAGAUUUACUGAUACAGUUUGCAGGAGAGGUUUUGGGCUGGAAUGCCCUGA